CCUACGGGCGGCACCAGUGAGGAAUAUUGGUCAAUGGACGAGAGUCUGAACCAGCCAAGUAGCGUGAAGGAUGACUGCCCUAUGGGUUGUAAACUUCUUUUAUAUGGGAAUAAAAUGUUCCACGUGUGGGAUUUUGUAUGUACCAUAUGAAUAAGGAUCGGCUAACUCCGUGCCAGCAGCCGCGGUAAUACGGAGGAUCCGAGCGUUAUCCGGAUUUAUUGGGUUUAAAGGGAGCGUAGGUGGAUUGUUAAGUCAGUUGUGAAAGUUUGCGGCUCAACCGUAAAAUUGCAGUUGAAACUGGCAGUCUUGAGUACAGUAGAGGUGGGCGGAAGUCGUGGUGUAGCGGUGAAAUGCUUAGAUAUCACGAAGAACUCCGAUUGCGAAGGCAGUUCACUGGACUGCAACUGACACUGAGGCUCGAAAGUGUGGGUAUCAAACAGGAUUAGAUACCCUAGUAGUC
rnacentral:rRNA from 1 species